rnacentral:lncRNA from 1 species
GUAACAUGAGGGAUCCCAUCUGCUAUGGUUUGAAUGUGCGUGCCCGCUCCAAAAUUCAUGCUGAAACUUAAUCCCCAGCGCAACUGUAUCGGAAGGUAGGGCCUUCUGGUGGUGGGGUUGAGUGCUCUGCCCUCAUGAAUGGCAUUAAUGCCUUAUAAAGAGGCUUCACACUGCGUCUGCUCCUUUUUGGCCUUUAACCUUCCUCCACGUAAGGACACAGUGAACAAGGUGCCAUCUUGGAAACAAACAGCAGCCUUCACCAGACACCAGACCUUCUGGCACCUUGACCUUGCGCUUUCCAGCCUCCAGAACCGACUAGAACUAUUGCCACUGAGGGCAGGUGAAAGUUCAGCCAACUCGGAACCCGGAGGCCCCACCUUACCUCCCUUUGUGAAGAGCCCAGAGCCUUUGUCCAAAGCUGCAUCACUUCCCACCCAGCCCUUCCUGAGCCAACUCCCCGAUGUCUCCAGAAGAACACAGUCGGCAUCAUCGUGAUAACAUCAGGGAAACUCCUAUUUCCAGCAGUUUCUCCUUCAGCUGCAAAAAUGUGCAGCAGUAGACAGGGCGUGGGUUUUUGAAGUCUCUGCAGGAAGUAGAGUUAUUUUCUCAGCACCACAUCUGAGCGCAUCUUCUAAGGGUGGCCGACUGUGUGGGAGCUGCAGGAGCUCAGCCGGGAUGCAGCCCUCCCAUUCCCCACCCUGUCCACUACCACCACGCCUGGAUCCGACAGGCAGGGCAGGACCCCAUGCCACGUGGUAACUGUUAAGGAAAAUGGAGCCAGGUAGGGGGGAUGUCUGAUACCCUUCCUGGUUUUCCUGAGUGUUCUUUGUCUCCCCAACUCCUACUCACAAUAAAUCUGACUACACUUAAA